rnacentral:rRNA from 1 species
AGUUGCGAUAAGCCGCGGUCAGCCACAAGCAGGCAUUGACCCGCGGAUUUCCGAAUGGGGAAACCCAGUUCCUGUAAUGAGGAAUUAUCUCCGGUUGAAUGUAUAGACCGGUAGAAGCGACACGGGGUGAAGUGAAACAUCUCAGUAACCCCAGGAGAAGAAAACAAAAGUGAUUCCGUAAGUAGUGGCGAGCGAACGCGGAACAGCCUAAACCGAGGAAACUUGUUUCCUCGGGGUUGUGGGACCUUGAUAAAGGUAUGUUAAGAGCGAGCUUAACGGAUUGGAAAGUCCGACCAUAGAACGUGAAAGUCGAGUGGGCGAAGUUCAAGACAACCUUAAGGUAUCCCGAGUAAUGCGGUGUACGUGAAACUCUGCAUGAAUCUGUCUGGACCACCAGAUAAGGCUAAAUACUCCCUAGUGACCGAUAGUGAACAAGUACCGUGAGGGAAAGGCGAAAAGAACCCCUGUUAGGGCAGUGAAAUAGAUCCUGCAACCAAUUGCCUACAAAGUGUGGGAGUCCCCUUGUGGGAUGACCGCGUGCCUUUUGCAUAAUGAGUCUGCGAGUUAUUGUCUGUGGCAAGCCUAAGUCCCUAUGGGAUGGAGGCGAAGCGAAAGCGAGUGUGAAAUGCGCGUUUAGUGGCAGGCGAUAGACCCGAAGCGGAGGUGAUCUACCCAUGAGCAGGUCGAAGCUGUGGUAACACACAGUGAAGGACCGAACCGGUGUGCGUUGAAAAGUGCUCGGAUGACUUGUGGGUAGGAGUGAAAGGCUAAUCAAACCCCGUGAUAGCUGGUUCUCUUCGAAACAGCUUGAGGGCUGGCGUCGAUUAAGUACUCCCGGGAGGUAGAGCACUGAAUGGCUUAGGGCCCAUACCAGGGUACCAAAACCAAUCAAACUCCGAAUGCCCGGGAUCUCAUUAUUUCGGCAGUUAGUCGAUGGGGGAUAAGCUCCAUCGGCAAAAGGGAAACAUCCCAGAUCGCCGGCUAAGGUGCCCAAAUACCGUUAAGUGGAAAGGAUGUGACGUUGCUAAGACAGUGAGGAUGUUGGCUUAGAGGCAGCCACCAUUUAAACAAUGCGUAAUAGCUGACUCAUCGAGCGAUGUUGCGCCGAAAAUGAUUGGCGAUUAAACGGUAUACCGAAGCCGCGGAUGCGGUUCUGAUGCGUCGGAACCGCGUGGUAGAAGAGCGUACUCAGUGCAUAGAAGCCGAACUGUAAGGGACGGUGGAGCGCUGAGUAGUGAGAAUGCAGACAUGAGUAGCGAUAAACAGGGUGAGAAUCCCUGUCGCCGUAAACCCAAGGUUUCCCGGGCAAGGUUCGUCCGCCCGGGGUUAGUCGGGAGCUAAGGCAAGGCCGUAAGGCGUAGUCGAUGCACAGCAGGCUAAUAUUCCUGCACCCGCUGGGGUUAAGGUUGGAACUGACGUGCCCACAUAAGUGCCUAUGUCAUCGAAAUGACGGAGCCUAGCUCUUUGAGCGAAGCGCAGCACCCGAGUGGGGGCCUAGAAAAGGUUCCACCCGUUCUCCCAGUGGCCCGUACCCUAAACCGACACAGGUGGGUGGGUCGAGUAGACUAAGGCGCGCAAGAUAAACCUCUCUAAGGAACUCGGCAAAAUAGCCCCGUAACUUCGGAAGAAGGGGUGCUCACUUCGGUGAGUCACAGUAAAGGGGGUCUGGCGACUGUUUAACAAAAACACAGCACUCUGCUAAGUCGUUAAGACAACGUAUAGGGUGUGACACGUGACCAAUGCGAAAAGAUUAAGGUAAGGUGUGCAAGCUCCGAACCGAAGUCCUCGUGAAUGUCGGCCGUAACUAUAACGGUCCUAAGGUAGCGAAAUUCCUUGUCGGGUAAGUUCCGACCUGCACGAAACGUGUAACGACCGGACCGCUGUCUCGGAGAGGUUCUUGGCGAAGUUGUAAUGGCGGUGAAGAUGCCGCCUACCCGCAGUAGGACGGAAAGACCCUUUGCACCUUUACUGUAAGCUGGUAUUGGGUUCUGAUUAAGGAUGCGUAGCGUAGGUGGGAGACGUUGAAGUGGCCCUUUCGGGGGCUGUGGAGUCGAAAUGUGAAACACCACUCUUCCUUAAUUAGGAUUCUAACCCCGAUCCUGUGAAGCCAGGCGGGGGACAGUGCUUGCGGGUCAGUUUGACUGGGGCGGUUUCCUCCCAAAGAGUAACGGAGGAGCGCUAAGGUACUCUCAGCAUGGUUGGCAACCAUGCGUCGAGCGUAUGGGUAGAUGAGUGCUUAACUGUGAGACUUACAGGUCGAGCAGAUACGAAAGUAGGCCCAAAUGAUCCGGCGGUUGAAAGUGGAAUUGCCGUCGCUCAACGGACAAAAGGUACGCUAGGGAUAACAGGCUGAUCGCGCCCAAGAGUUCAUAUCGACGGCGCGGUUUGGCACCUCGAUGUCGGCUCGUCGCAUCCUGGGGCUGGAGAAGGUCCCAAGGGUCCGGCUGUUCGCCGGUUAAAGCGGCACGCGAGCUGGGUUCAGAACGUCGUGAGACAGUUCGGUCCUUAUCCACUGUGGGCGUAGGAAACUUGAGGGGUUCAAACUCUAGUACGAGAGGACCGAGUUUGACGCACUUCUGGUGUGGCAGUUGUUCCGUCAGGGGCAGCGCUGCGUAGCCAUGUGCGGAAGAGAUAAGCGCUGAAAGCAUCUAAGCGCCAAGCUCCUCCCAAGAUAAGGUUUCCCUUCCAUUAGGACUUAAGGCUCCCGGAAGACUACCGGGUUGAUAGGUCGGAUGUGUAAGCGCUGCGAAGCGUUCAGCAGACCGAUACUAAUAAGCCGUGAGGCUUGAUCCU